rnacentral:rRNA from 1 species
GGACGGAGAAGGCUAGGCAGCACGGCGUUGGUAGUCCGUGUUUAAGCGUGUAGGGUGAUCUCUUAGGUAAAUCCGGGUGGUCGUUAGCCUGAGACGUGAUGACGAGUUUUUUGAGAGAUCAUAAGACGAAGUGGUUGAUGCCCUGCUUCCAGGAAAACCUUCUAAGCAUAGGUAACAGACGACCGUACUGUAAACCGACACAGGUGAUCUGGUAGAGAAUACCAAGGCGCUUGAGAGAACUUGGGUGAAGGAACUAGGCAAAAUGGUACCGUAACUUCGGGAGAAGGUACGCUCCCUUUGGUGAAGCAUUUACUGCGUAAGCUGAGGGGAGUCGAAGUAACCAGGCCCCUGCAACUGUUUAUUAAAAACACAGCACUCUGCAAACUCGUAAGAGGAAGUAUAGGGUGUGACGCCUGCCCGGUGCCGGAAGGUUAAUUGAUGGGGUUAGCGCAAGCGAAGCUCUUGAUCGAAGCCCCGGUAAACGGCGGCCGUAACAAUAACGGUCCUAAGGUAGCGAAAUUCCUUGUCGGGUAAGUUCCGACCUGCACGAAUGGCGUAAUGAUGGGGGCGCUGUCUCCACCCAAGACUCAGUGAAAUUGAAAUCGCUGUUAAGACGCAGUGUACCCGCGGCUAGACGGAAAGACCCCGUGAACCUUUACUAUAGCUUCACACUGGACUUUGACACUAUCUGUGUAGGAUAGGUGGGAGACUUUGAAGCGGCAACGCUAGUUGUCGUGGAGUCGUCCUUGAAAUACCACCCUGGUAUUGUUGAGGUUCUAACUUGGCUCCUGAAACGGGAGUGAGGACAGUGUGUGGUGGGUAGUUUGACUGGGGCGGUCUCCUCCCAAAGAGUAACGGAGGAGCACGAAGGUACCCUAAUGGCGGUCGGAAAUCGCCAGUUUAGUGCAAUGGCAUAAGGGUGCUUGACUGCGAGAGUGACAACUCGAGCAGGUGCGAAAGCAGGUCAUGGUGAUCCGGUGGUUCUGAAUGGAAGGGCCAUCGCUCAACGGAUAAAAGGUACUCCGGGGAUAACAGGCUGAUACCGCCCAAGAGUUCACAUCGACGGCGGUGUUUGGCACCUCGAUGUCGGCUCAUCACAUCCUGGGGCUGAAGCCGGUCCCAAGGGUAUGGCUGUUCGCCAUUUAAAGUGGUACGCGAGCUGGGUUUAGAACGUCGUGAGACAGUUCGGUCCCUAUCUGCCGUGGGCGUUGGAGAUUUGAGAGGAGCUGCUCCUAGUACGAGAGGACCGGAGUGGACGAACCACUGGUGUUCGGGUUGUCACGCCAGUGGCAUUGCCCGGUAGCUAUGUUCGGACAGGAUAACCGCUGAAAGCAUCUAAGCGGGAAGCCCCCCUCAAGACGAGAUCUCCCUGAGGACUUGAUCCUCCUAAAGUGCCGUUGAAGACUACGACGUUGAUAGGCUGGGUGUGUAAGUACAGUGAUGUAUUGAGCUAACCAGUACUAAUUGCACGUGAGGCUUGACCAU